rnacentral:rRNA from 1 species
AGGACGAACGCUGGCGGCGUGCCUAACACAUGCAAGUCGAACGGGGCCCGCAAGGGUUCAGUGGCGAACGGGUGCGUAACACGUGAAGAAUUUGUCCAACGGCGGGGGAUAGCCGGCCCAACGGCCGGGUAAUACCGCGUACGACCCUCGAGGGGCAUCCCUUGAAGGUGAAAGCCGCAAGGCGCCGAUGGAGAACUUCGCGGCCUAUCAGCUAGUUGGUGAGGUCAUGGCUCACCAAGGCGACGACGGGUAGCUGGUCCGAGAGGAUGACCAGCCACAUUGGGACUGAGACACGGCCCAGACUCCUACGGGAGGCAGCAGUGGGAAUAUGCGCAAUGGGCGAAAGCCUGACGCAGCGACGCCGCGUGGUGGGAUGGACGGUCCGUUCGGGUUCGUAAACCACGUGUCCGGCGGAGGGACGAAGACUC